CACCGGGCUGACGUCACAUGUCAACACGGAGGACUAACAAACAAAUAAGUACAAUUUAAAAAGAGGAGAGCCUGCUAUAAUAACAACAACAACAAUAAUAAUACAUUAUUGGAUAGAUAGAUUGGACAGAUAAAUAAAAAAAAAAUAAAAACAAUGACAGUAGCUCUAAACAGUUCAAGGAUGAGACGUUUUGCAUUUUCUCAUUUAUUCCCCUUCUUUUCUUAUUUAUUUCUGUAUUGUGAAUGUCUGUACAUAGUGUAUAUUUUGUAUACAAGUAAAUCUCAAUAAAUAAAUGUGUGAAAGUAAAUAUAUGACAUAUUAACAGGAUUUCAUGCUGUUGUUUACAUCUUAGUGCUGUGUUCAACAGCAACAUCAUUGUUCCCUCCUCCAAGGCUCUGCAAAGGCCCUGAAGCUCUCUUCUUCCCCGUCCUCUCAUCUUCCUUCCACCCCUCCUCCCUCUCUCCUUCCCUCUGCUGCUCCUCUUCAUCAUGCUCUUCCUCCUCAGGGGUGAUUUUCACGGCCACUUCCUGGUUGAUGAUUUCGUUCUGCGAGGCCACAGGAUUGUCGUAGUAGCCCUCCUCACAGAUGGAAGAGGAAGAGGAGGCAGCGUGGUCUGCGGGGUCAGCAGGUGUUGGCACAGCAUUGAAGGUGAUGAAGCCAAUGAGGAUGACCAACAGUGAGACCAGUUACAUUCAGCAGGUUGCUGUGACCCAGACAGUGGACGCAACGAAGCACUACAAGUGGAGAAAGCAGGAAAUAAGGAACCUGAACUUGAGACAUAGGAAGACCCCACAGAAGAGACUGAAGAGGUCAGCGGUGAGCAGGGAGAGGUUGACAGAGGUGGCGCUGCUCAGCUUCAUCACUAUGGGCAUGCUGCUGUACAGAGUGUACAUACACAACGCAAAGGCAGAGAACAGGAGCCCUGAGAGGAGAAAUACCCAGAUGUUAUUUCACUCCUUGAUAUGACGGAGGCUCGUCUACAACCUAACCAGGUGAAAACUUCCUUGGGGCUGAAUUUCCGGAUCCUCGCCAUGAGUCUGGUGCUCUGGUUCUCGUAGCUCGUGUCCCUGGAUGCAUCUUCGGGCUGUUUAGCAGCCAUGUUGCCUCAGCAGUGAUGGUGGAAUCCUCUCUGAGUUUAACUGUUACAAGCUUUUAACUCCUUGACCUUCAAGGUGCUGGAGCUGAAUGAUUAACUGACUCAGAGGGCAAAGAUUACUCCUUCACUUAUGUGUGUGUGUGUGUGUGUGUGUUUACAGUCAUGUAUUGAAGACAGCUGGCAGCUCUCAAAGAUAAGAGCUGAUGAUGAAAGAAGUCAUCAGUGUGCUUCCUCUUGUUUUCACUGUCAUUGAUGAGAUAACUCAUGUUGGAGGGAAAGUGCUUCAUCAUGGCCUUUAAAAAAUUUUCAUGGAAAUGGCAAAACAAAUUAAGUACAUUAACUCAAGCAUUGUAUAAUAAUUGUAUUAUUAUAUCUGUAUCAACAACCUAAUAAUGUGACACAUAACUAGACUAUUCAGUUCCUGGAGGAAUUGUGGUGGGAUUGCUGGCUUCUAGAGAGGCAGCUGACUUAAUUAACUGGCAACUGUUUUAAUAAUCAUUUAUCAUGCAACAAUACCAAACAUUUCAUGACUCCAGCUUCUACAGCGUGUGGAUUUUCUUGUAGUUAUUUCAAGAAUUU